CACGUAGGGCGCGAGCGUUGUCCGGAAUUAUUGGGCGUAAAGAGCUCGUAGGCGGCUUGUCGCGUCGGCUGUGAAAGUCCAGGGCUCAACCCUGGGAUGCCGGUGGAUACUGUCGGGCUCGAGUCCGGAAGAGGCGAGUGGAAUUCCUGGUGUAGCGGUGAAAUGCGCAGAUAUCAGGAGGAACACCAAUGGCGAAGGCAGCUCGCUGGGAAGUGACUGACGCUGAGACGCGAAAGCGUGGGGAGCAAACAGG
rnacentral:rRNA from 1 species